rnacentral:rRNA from 1 species
AGAGUUUGAUUAUGGCUCAGAACGAACGCUGGCGGCAGGUCUUAGGCAUGCAAGUCGAACGGGUGAAGCAGGGGCUUGCCCUUGUGGAUCUAGUGGCGCACGAGUGAGUAACGCGUGGGAAACUGCCCAUUACUGGGGAAUAACGUUUGGAAACGAACGCUAAUACCGCAUACGCCGGAAACGGGAAAGAUUUAUCGGUGAUGGAUGUGCCCGCGUUGGAUUAGCUUGUUGGUGGGGUAACGGCCUACCAAGGCGAUGAUCCAUAGCUGGUCUGAGAGGACGAUCAGCCACGCUGGAACUGAGACACGGCCCAUACUCCUACGGGAGGCAGCAGUAGGGAAUUUUGCGCAAUGGGGGAAACCCUGACGCAAGCAACGCCGCGUGAUUGAAGAAGCCCUUCGGGGUGUAAAGAUCUGUCAGUGGGGACGAAACUUGACGGUACCCACAGAGGAAGCAUCGGCUAACUCCGUGCCAGCAGCCGC